rnacentral:tRNA from 1 species
GGAGAGGUGGCCGAGUGGCUUAAGGCGCACGCUUGGAAAGCGUGUGUGCGUUUACGCGUACCGUGGGUUCGAAUCCCACCCUCUCCGCCA